UACGUAGGGUGCGAGCGUUAAUCGGAAUUAUUGGGCGUAAAGCGUGCGCAGGCGGUUUUGUAAGUCAGAUGUGAAAUCCCCGGGCUUAACCUGGGAACUGCGUUUGAAACUACAAGGCUAGAGUGUGGCAGAGGGGGGUGGAAUUCCACGUGUAGCAGUGAAAUGCGUAGAGAUGUGGAGGAACACCGAUGGCGAAGGCAGCCCCCUGGGUUAACACUGACGCUCAGGCACGAAAGCGUGGGGAGCAAACAGG
rnacentral:rRNA from 1 species